UACGUAGGGUGCGAGCGUUAAUCGGAAUUACUGGGCGUAAAGCGUGCGCAGGCGGUUCGUUGUGUCCGGUGUGAAAGCCCCGAGCUUAACUUGGGAAUGGCAUUGGAAACUGGCGAGCUGGAGUGUGGCAGAGGGGGGUGGAAUUCCACGUGUAGCAGUGAAAUGCGCAGAUAUCGGGAAGAACACCCGUGGCGAAGGCGGCUCUCUGGGACGGUACUGACGAUGAGACGCGAAAGAGUGGGGAGCAAAAAGG
rnacentral:rRNA from 1 species